CUCCCUCGUUGCUGACCCCAGGUUCAAUAGUACCAAUUAGGCAUCACCUCGCCAAGAACCAACUUCGAUGAAGCGACGGGCGGUGUGUGCAAGGAG
rnacentral:rRNA from 1 species